AUAUCUCAUACAUAAAGAUUUUUACUCCUUUGUUCUCCAAUCCAAGUAGCAUGGCCAACCAACUUUACAAACGAUCAUAUCAAAACCAUCAAAUCAGCUAAUUCUUUCCAAUCACGCACAAUGGAAAAUUCUUUACUGUCAUCCUUAGCUUCAUCUCCUUUAACUAUGACAGCUAAUAAACAACGAGCAAUUAAAAAGGCGAACAACUUAUCAACAAAUCAAUAGAUAUUCCACCAUCUCUCUCAUUCAAGUAGCUUCAUCUACGAGAUUUGGUCAAAUUAUCACACUAAGUAAAUUUUCGUUCACCCUUAAAUUCACUUCGCAAGUGGACAAGGAAACAAAGAUGGGUAUUUG
rnacentral:misc_RNA from 1 species